AUUAACGAUGAGGUGGGUGGAUUUAUCGGAAGGACAACCGUUUUCCUCAAGACCCAGUUUCAAAGUGGAAAUUGCGAAGACACUUGGCUUCUGGGUCCACAUUAUUCCUGGUAUAGAAAUAACGAGAGAAGGGCUGUGGGCUUUCUUGGAAACACGAGAGAAAAGUCUGGACACAGUGGGCCUGGGGAGGGCUGGCCGGAGAGGAGACCCACCAUGUGUCCAGACUUUAGGGAGAGUCCUGAGAAAGGCUCUUUUUCCAACUUCCCUGACUUUUAAAAUGUACUGAGCUCAUCCUUGUGUGCUGACUUGUGCCUGGCACUGCAUGAAGUCCUUUCCAUGUGUGACUCAGUUUCAUCCUCAACAACACAGGGAGGUCUAUAAUGUACCCAUUUUAUGGACGAGCGAACUGAGGCACAGAGCAGUUCAAAGACAUGCCCAAGAUUGGUAAGAGGUGGACCUCGGGAUGAACAGCUCUGUUGGACUUUAUGAAUGAUACUGUAACGAUGAAGCUUUACUGUCUCCUUGGUGAUGAUUCUAAUAAAUAGUAUUUGUCCAGUCAGGAAGAGGGUCCCGGUACUUAACACACACGAAGUUAUGAAGCCACCAAACAAUCCUAUGAAGAUAAUGCAAUGGUCUCCUGAUACCUUUUGAUACUUUCUACCACCACCUUCCAAACCGAGGGGGUGGGAUCUUGCCGAGCGGGGUCUCCUGGUGAAGGUAAUGGGCUUAUACAUCGGGCAGACCCGGUCUGCGGCCACUCACCAGCCUCACACUUCACGCCGCCUGCCCGAGCCUUACUCUUUCAAUCCGCAAAGUGGAACAGGAGCGCACAUGGGACCAACGGCCUCGAGAUGCUUCCACCAAGAAGCCGCAGACGGUCUUGGCUGUUGGAUUUCACAAAUUGGAAAUUUUGGUUUGAGUGCUCAGGUAUCUCCACACGGACUUGACAUGAUCUGCUCAGAUGUGGAAACAGAGGAAGAGACCUGCCCUAGGACGCAUGUCACUGAAGCCUGUGCCCUUACCUGCUCCAGCUCCUGCACCCUCCAGCGCCGAGACCCAGGGGUUCCCAGACUCCCUGUCCGCCCCCACUCCAGUGCCUCCCCCUGGGAGGCUGGACGGCCGGACCGCACCCUCCUGCUGCCAGACCUGAUUUAGAUCGCUGCUAUUUUGAAUCCAGGGCCUAUGCCAGCACAUCAAACCUGUAUUUGUCCCAUCCAGAUCAGUUCCUGGAGAGACCCAGCACCUCCUCAGCUUUUGACCCUUCAGUUUGGCUCAGGAAAGGAGAGACGCAGCCCUGACAACCCCCAGCUCUCCAGCGAAGCGGUGGAUUGUCUGCUCUUGGCAGCAGCUCUAGCCUGGCUCCGCGUGAAAUGUCUGCAGCAGACCAAGCCCCUUCGCAGCCGUCAGAUGGUACGGAUCGGGCAGAAUCGCCUCUUCCCUGGGCCUGUCCCGUCUCAGGGGCUGUGACUGGAGGGCACGCAGUUUGGGGCUGCUGGAGACUCCUUCAAGAACAAGCAGCUCAGCCUGACCCCAAAGCUUGGCUCUUACUCUGUUUCUUGUUUGAUGUAGUUGGCCCUACGGGAACGGUCGCCAGCGGAGAACCCGGGCCUGCGAGGGUCGCGCUGCCAACGCGGGCUCCGCAGAGAACUGGAAUUUCAGACGCAAGUUCUGCUUGACUUUGCCCCGGCUCCAGCUUGGAAAGAGAAGUCACGAUGGAGAGAGCUGGAAGGUGGUAGAGUCACCAGAUGAAGCCAAUGUCGCCAUCUUGCAAAUGCUUGAGGAUGAGCAGCUCUGGGAACGAGAUCCUCAUGGAGGCAACAAGGUUCACGGCCACUGAGGGUUAUACUUACAGGUUCAUGCAUCCGAGAAGUGUUAACUGAGCCCUUACAUUGUGCCUUGUGUGCUGGCUUCGGCGACAUACUGCGAUGGUGCCGGCACGUUCAAGGCAUGUUUAUUGCCUCCCAGGGUUCUGUCAGCUUCAGGGGAGCUGGACACACACGCCAACAAUCCAAACCCACGUGGUAAAAGCCACUGGGUGAAGACCACUGAGCCCUACAAGGGGACCCUCCCCUCCCCAUGCUCCUUUGCCUGACACCAUGUUUUCCAGCCUCCGCUGCAACCGCAGGUGAGAUGUACGUCGAGGUCUGACAGGGAGUUUCUGAGAAAAUGUUUGCUCUCCUGCUUAAAAGAAAAAAAAAAAAAAGCCCAUAUUCUCUGGCUUCCCCUUUUUACUUUCCUUUUGUCUUGAAAAUGUCAAACUCCAGCAGCCAUCUUGAGACCAAGAGGUCCCCAAACUGAGGACAAAGAGCCACGGGGCCUGGAAAGCUGGACGGGUGGGCAGCGCCAGCCUUGGCUCCUGAGGGGACAAGCCCCCCUCCUUCCCCCUUGACACGCAAGAAAAAUCAACUCCACUUGUUUGUGCCCCUGUCGGCUGGGUUUUGUGUUCCUUGCAGACUCCAGCAUUUUCAACGGAAGUGGGAUUCCGUGACUUCUAUCUGAACCGUUCUGGAAAUCUAGACAGAAGAGUUUUUUUAAAAAAAAGAAAGAAAAGAAAAAGAAAAAGGCACAGAGUCCCUUGUCUUCAAAAAUUCACAAUAGUCAGGGAUAAAUAACACGAACCACAGCGGCUGGUGUGCCUGACAGAUACAGGAGCCCCCCUGCCCCGGGGUGCUGGGGGCCAUGGUGUGGGGUCUGAGCUCAAGAGCUCUUGAGCUCUUGAGCGAGGGACGUGAGAUCAGACUUCUGGCAUCCCGCUCAGUGUCCCCCAGACUUCUCUGGAAGCCGCUUUAGUCUGCCUCAUGCACUUGUGCUGUAGAAACACAGAAUCCAUAGACAGUGUCUCUCAAACCGUGUCCCCUCGGGGUCAUCUCUGAGAGCAGAUUUAUACCCGGCAGCUCCCGAGUCUGGUUUCCCGACCAGCUCCCAGGCGGGGCCCCAGCCAUGGGCCGGAGGUCGGUUCUUGGAGCCUCGGGAGUCAAGGGCAUCCAGCUGUGUCUCGAACCCUCCCAUGGGCGGUCAGACGCGCUGUCCUGCCUACAGAAUCAAGGCCAUGUCAGGGGCUCUGCACUUGGACGCAUUGGCUAAAUGCCCUCGUCUUGUCUUCUAGAUGAUUCCCUCCUGCAGUCUGAUAGGACUUCACUGCGGACUCUAAACCGGCUCCCUGGGGUUCGGGCAGACUUGAAGUGGCCCCAGGAUACGGGACUCUCAGUCCCCGCCGACGGGGAAGGGUGGGCCGGCCUGUCUAGACUGAAGUCUGAAUGAUUAAACACAAGACAAGACAACUCAGUCGAGUCCUUGGAAGCAAGCGAGGUGGAUGGCUGCCGGGGUCAGGCAGGGACGAGAGCACCCCAGGCCAACGAGGACAUCCGUCACAGCCCUGCUGCGGUGAAGUGCGACAAGCCUGCUCUUCGGCAUUUGCUCUACAUGUUCCGGAUCUGGGUCUGGAGGCCUGGACAGUUGGGGAGGGGGACACCAAAACAAGCCCCCAAGUGCCUCGGGCUUGCUGCCGCCACAUGGCGGGGGAGGUGACGGCCCUGUCCCUGCUCCUUGCCGUGGCCCUGAAGACGGGAUGGGACAGAAUGAGGUCGUGGAUCCUCUGCCCGUCGGGGGUUUAUGCGCCCCCAGCCCCACCUCCCAUGGCCCGGGGCUCUUCAUGAACCGCUCAGCAACUUAACGGAAAAAAUGUGCUCUCUCGUUCCCAGCCGAAUGUCCUCAAUUUGCCUCAUUUGUGCCUAAAGCACAGGGUACACCAGUGUUAAGUGAAAGGCUCUUACCAGAACGUGGUGUCCCUCCUCCCAAAAGUGUGUUGUCUCCCUGACCAGACGGGGUGGCAGGGAGGGCAGCGCUGACCCGGGGACCGGGGACCGCAGGUGGCGGCCGGAUUCUGCCCUCUCUGCGCAAAGUAGGGCCCUUUGACUUCGGGGCCCUUUUUUUGUUUUGUGCUUAUUUUUCAGAAGUGGCAAAUAUUUACAACAUAUGAGAAGUUUUAAGUAAAA